rnacentral:tRNA from 1 species
UCCUUGGUGGUCCAGUGGCCAAGACUCUGUGCUUCUGAUGCAGGGGGCCUGGGUUCAAUCCAUGGUCAGGGAA